UCCCCAGUGGCUCAGCGGGUAAAGAGCCGGCCUGCAAUGCAGGACACCCAGGUUCAAAUCCUGGGUCGGGAA
rnacentral:tRNA from 1 species